UUACUUUUACACUCGUGUUAAUUAAAAACAUUUCAAAAACAGAGUUCGCCAGCGUACUGGAAUUCAAAUCAAACAUCCGUCUGGUUUAUUACGUCGAUAUGUAAAUUUUGCACAGCGUCACUACCCUUAUAAAGACCCUGCUGAAUUGAAAAUUUAGUUGGACGAGUCGAGAGUACGCUCGGUUCAGUGCGGCCACGUCUUUCAGCCAACUCGCUGCUCGCAGACCGCGGUUUUAUAAAAUUAAAAAUGUGUAUUAACAUGUUUCUUUCAAUAAUUGACACGUCAAAGUGCUUCCAACGUUUUCGUUGUUAUGACGGAAAACGAUAACAUGUGAUACGUCACAAGCUGUCAAAAUGAGACAAGGACGGAAGAUGCGCGCGAGAGAGACGGCACGAUCGCGUGCCCGACCUCCGUGCGCGUCUGUCUGCGGAAAUGCGUCACACCGUCGCCGGCAGUGACGUCACGGCGGCGGACACCGGAAGCGGACAGUGGCGCCGCCCGCCGGAACCGGAUGCCGCCGCAAUGCGCGAUAUCGUCUUGCCAGAGAUAAUAACAUAAAAGAGGUAAUGCAGCCGAAGACACGACCCAAGAUCGACAUGCUGGUAUCACGCUUGGCUACUACAUAACAACACCACUACCUAAAAACAUUGAACGAUGAAGUACCACGCAUGAUGAUUAGAUGUUAGAUGUACGGCAUCUACCGAGUUAUUACCUCAAAUUCUAAGUUCACCAAACCAGAACACAACAGGCUCUCACUUCUAUAGAAAACGGUUGUCAAGAUAGAUAUUUUUGGAGACCUAUUAUGAAAUAGAAUGAAAUACCACACAUUUCAGGACGAAUCAGU